GAAUAAUUGCACCUGCCUUGCUGGUCUCUGAUAAGAAUUGUAUGAAACAAUUGGUAAGUAUUUGAUAAAUAGUAGUUGUAUUUCCUUCAUUUGCUAGUCAUUUCAGGCAUUAUUUAUUUCUGUGCAGCAUACAAAGCCCAUGGCGAUAGCCUUUGUAGACAGUAAAGUGUUAACUGGCGAGCUGUUUUCUACAAUUUUUAGGUUGUCUUUAUACAUUUUAAAGUGAGUGUUUGUAUUAUAUAAAUGUUCUCUAAGCUCUUUUCUUAUUAAAAACCAGGAAAUUAGAGUCCCGCGAAGUUAUAUUAUUGGCUUUACAUGAUUAUAUAUCAGUGGAAGAGCUGAGGGAAAUGAUUACGUGUCGGCCAGUUUUAAAACUUCAGUAACACUUUAUGUGGAUGUUAUAGAAUGCACGUGUGUAUAAUUUCUGCAUCUGACACACACAUAUAUGUUCAUAUGAUCCUUGCAGCUUCCAGGAUAGAGGAGUUGUUCUACACACCCGGUUUAUUUUUUUAUUGCAUGUGUUCGAGGACCCUCAUGCUAUACUAGGAGGUGAGGAUGUUGUG
rnacentral:lncRNA from 1 species